rnacentral:lncRNA from 1 species
AUAUAAUGGUAUAAUGGUGGUGGUUUAUCAUAUAAUAUGAAUGCAGAAUAUGGAGAUUUUGAUCCAAAUACAGUAUUGAUAAAUUUUCACUACAAAAAAAUAAUCAUUCAGAUUGUUUCCGUAUUUGAAUUCUGGAUGGGAAUUCCUAACCCAAGAACUGUGGCUUUCCAUCCAGAGAAUGCGAGAUUGAUCUUGGGUUCCAUCUUUGGGAAAAUUUAUAGACAGACUAUUCGGAUGGGGUCUAUCAAUUCCAGUUCGAUCGAUCCUUUCACGGUUAUGGGUGAUAGCUUAUGUCACGGUCCAAAUUUUCUUCGCCAUUUAGUGAUAAUAGUCUGAAAUUGGCAUUAUAUAACGAUUAAAAAAAAU